rnacentral:rRNA from 1 species
AGUGAACGCUGGCGGUAGGCCUAACACAUGCAAGUCGAACGGCAGCACAGUAAGAGCUUGCUCUUACGGGUGGCGAGUGGCGGACGGGUGAGGAAUACAUCGGAAUCUACUUUUUCGUGGGGGAUAACGUAGGGAAACUUACGCUAAUACCGCAUACGACCUACGGGUGAAAGCAGGGGAUCUUCGGACCUUGCGCGAUUGAAUGAGCCGAUGUCGGAUUAGCUAGUUGGCGGGGUAAAGGCCCACCAAGGCGACGAUCCGUAGCUGGUCUGAGAGGAUGAUCGGCGACACUGGAGCUGGGACACGGUCCAGACUCCUACGGGAGGCAGCAGUGGGGAAUAUUGGACAAUGGGCGCAAGCCUGAUCCAGCCAUACCGCGUGGGUGAAGAAGGCCUUCGGGUUGUAAAGCCCUUUUGUUGGGAAAGAAAAGCAGCAGGUUAAUACCCCGCUGUUCUGACGGUACCCAAAGAAUAAGCACCGGCUAACUUCGUG